CCCCUGACUCGGUGGUGGUCGGCCGCGCUCGCGCCGAGUCGUGAUCCGUGCCCAUUUCCGGUCGAUACGCAGUAAUCGGAGUAAUCCUUCCGCGUCGCGCGUUCUUUGGCGUGGCGAGUUCGCGAUCGACGUUGAUCAUCGGGACGUAUUAGUGUCGUAAUUCGUCUCCCAUCGGGCACUUUAUUCGUAUUUCUUAUCGACACGCGAGGAAUCGUCGGGAGUGUCGUCGCGGGACGACCGGUGUGUUGCAUACGCAACGAAGUGUCGCGUCGUCGCCAUUGUUUCGUCAGUGUCGUGAGGUAGGAUCUCGUCGCGUCCUCUUGUCGCGUUCCUCGUGUCCUCUCGUCGGUGGAGAGCGAGUUUGCCCGCGGACGGCAUCGCCGGGGAUGCCGAGCCGAGUCGAAGACAUUAAGUCGACGUACAAAGUGAUCGCGUCCCUCGCGCCCCUUUCCCCUCUUGUCUUCCGUCUGUGGGAAAUUGACGCCAAAAUCGCCGGAGUUUUUCGUCGCGUCGUCGUGUCGCGGUCUGUCCCCGUCUCCGCUCGAUCUCGUCGCGUUUCUCGUGUUCUUUCCUCGGAGAGCAAAGUUCCUCGCGGAAGGCAUCGCCGAACCGAGCCGACGUCAUUAAUUGGCGUACAAAGUAGUUGCGGCUCGCGUCGUUAGCAUCUGUAAUCGUGUUGCGAGUGUGUCUGUGCGAACGAGGAAAACCUCAUCGAUUCAUCGGCUGGUGAGUAAAUUUAUUUAUCUGUUUUUUUUUUAAUAUUCUUGAAUAUUUUUUAUUUCAAUAUUGAAUUAUAUCAUUUCAGUACUGUUGACCAUAGACAAGACCAGAAAAAAAACAGAUAUAAGUAACGUUAAUAAAAAGAGUUUUGAAGAUAUAGAAAUUUUAUCAGAAAGACGGCAGCGUUCAUCAAAAAUGGCAUAUCUGAACAUUCUAUCCCCACUAAUGAGGAUUUACCAUCUUUAUUGACAAAUAUGGGCUUUAUUAGAGGUUUUAAGGCAAGACAAAUAAUUUGCCUCGUUCAGGACACAAAUAGAGAGGUAAUGCUGCUACCACUUUUAAAAUACUUCUCGGUAAGUGAGUUGCUUCCAUUUUAUUAAUAAAUUGCUUUCGUCUGUUUCAUGCCCAAAAAAA